ensembl:lncRNA
ACCAUGGGACUAGAUACUGUGGGACUAGGUACUGUGGGACUAGAUACUGUGGGACUAGAUACCAUGGGACUAGAUACCAUGGGACUAGAUACUGUUGGACUAGAUACUGUGGGAAAGAUACCAUUGGACUAGAUACUGUUGGACUAGAUACUGUGGGACUAGAUACUGUGGGACUAGAUACCAUGAGACUAGAUACCAUGGGACUAUAUACUGUGGGACUAGAUACCAUGGGACGAGAUACUGUUGGACUAGAUACUGUGGGAAAGAUACCAUUGGACUAGAUACUGUUGGACUAGGUACUGUGGGACUAGAUACUGUGGGACUAGAUACUGUUGGACUAGAUACUGUGGGACUAGAUACUGUGGGACUAGAUACCAU